rnacentral:tRNA from 1 species
GGCGAGGUAGCCAAGCGGUCUAAGGCGCUAGACUAAGGCAAUCUAGUUCUUCGGAGCGUGGGUUCGAAUCCCACCCUCGUCA